CGCUGAAGCGCCGCCGACCCACCUCCGGCAUGAGCCCGGCCGCGCCGCCCAGCAGCGCCUGGCAGAGCAGCAGCGCCAGGAGCGAGCGGGUCACGGCAACCAUGAUCAACCUGCGCGGAGGAGGAGGCGAUGGGAGCCAGUCAGCGCGGACACCGCGCCGGGGAAGGGGGGGGACGGUCCGCAGGUGGGGACCCACCCCGGCGCCGGGCCAUGACCGGCGGAGCCCCCGCCGCGGACCGGCCGGCGAAGUCCCCCGAGGGGCCGCUUCAGAGCGCUAGCACCUCCGCCGUGGCCCACGGAGUCAUCCUGCGGAGAAGGCUUUCAGCGGAUCUGCGACCGCCGGAGCUAUACCUGUGUGCAGCAGCAGGGGUUGUGUCUGCAGGAGGGUGUUCUGCUCUCGGGGUGUUUUUCCCGCAUCACUUGGUGUUACUCCAAACUUCGCUGCUGCUCCUCUACAGCUGCCGAGCAGAAAAUAGAAGUUCCCUGAAGUGCAGUCCGCCUCGGAAACAUACUUUUAGCAGCUGGUUGAGGAGGCAGAAGGCAAGUCCCAGCCAGGGAAAAGCUUCUCCCUUUUAAAAGCAGCGAUCGUGAAGUUGCUUCUUCUUUUUCUUCCUCCUCCUCGCGUGUGUGUGCCUGCCCGUGAAUGGGUCCCUACGUGUCUACGGAGUUAAAAGGCUCCUUUUCAAAAAUGUCCUUUGCAUCACGCUCAUCAGACAGAUGGACAUUUAUCGAGACUCCAGCAGCAACAUCAAGAUGAAGCUUGACUUGUCUCCGCUCCCUUAAAAAAGAAAGGAAAAAGGAGGGAGGAGGGUAAAUAAAAGAGGGAGGAAAAAAAAAAAAAAAAAAAAAAAAAAAAAAAAAGGGGGGAGCCGCCCGCCGCCGUCCCGCGUGGAGCGGCCGCGCUAGGGCACCGCGCCGGGCUCCCCGCCGGCCCCGCACCGCACCAUGGCCGGGGGUGGCCGCCCGCCGCCGCCGCCGGGGCUUUUUGUUGCGCGGCGAUGUCACGACCCCGGAGGCUCGGGGGCCCGCGCCAAUCACAGCCGCCCUGUGGGAGCGGGCUGCGGCCCCGCACGGCUUUUAAAGGAGACGCCGCCUCCCUCCCUCGCUCCUUCCCUCCCUCCUCCCUCGCCCGCUCCCUCCCUCACCGCGGCUGCCGCCCGCGCCCGGGUCGCGGUGCCGCCGGGGAGAGGGAUGGGGCGGGCGGCCGUCCCGUUAAACUGCGGUACCGGCGGCCGAGCCGAUGCGGGAAGACCCCCGGCCCGCCCGGUCCCGCGUCCCGCUCCGGGGAACGGGACCGGGCCGGGUCGAACAAUGACCCAUUGUACAGCCCGAGCGUUCCGCCGCCGCAAAUCGGAUUAGCGCCGUGCCCCGGACUGCCGGGGUGGUAAGGUGCGAAGGUCACGUAAGGUACCGGGAGAAUCCCGGUGCUUUAGAACUACUUAAAAAAAUACAUAUAUGUACUUAUUUCUUUUUCUCCCCCCACCAGAGCGUGGAGCCCGCUGCCCGAGCCAGGGGCGAGGGCUGGAAAUCUGGGGGUUUCCUCGCUCUCCUCUCCGAAAGAGAAGCGCCCGGGCUCGGGAGAAGUCUCCUCCCGCAGCGCUGCCGCGGCGCAUCCGAUGCGGGCUCAGCCCCGUGCGGGCGGCAGAGGGGUUGGGCUGGGUGGUUUUUUUUUAAGAUGUGGCUGCCCUCCAGUGGUGGAACGGCGGCGGAUCGGCCGGCCCGGAACGGCAACCCCGGCUCGAACCGUCCGCCCGCGGCCCCGCACCUGCCCCGGGGCUGAGCCGCGCUCCCCGCGGGCCGGGACCCAGCCUGCCCACGCCGGUGCUCCCGGCUGCGGCCUCCACAGCUCGUGGCAUCGCCCACGGAGUAGGACAGCGGUGGCACGGGUGGAGAAGGCAGGUCCGUGCCCAGCGCGAUUGAGCUCCCAGUCACAACUGUGUCCCUCGAUCCCUUUCCAGACGCUGGCAGCUCUCCUGAUACAACGAGUGACUCGAGAGCAGGGCUGAGUCCUUUGCCCCAUCUCUUGUUUGUCCGCCUGGGCUCUGCGGUAGGGCCGGACCCUAAAUUGCAUAGGUAUGCGAUACCUAGCAAUUUAGGGUCCUCAUCAAAGCCAAAGCCAUCGGCACACCGUCAUUAGCCGGGGUCCUCGUGCCUUCCCGGCAAAGCAAGUGCUCUGGGCUCCACCUCGUCUUCCCUACAUCUCUCAGGGGCUUCAUUUGCAAAAGGCACAGCCAGCCUGUGACACCUUGAAUUACUGCGGAGGAGGACUUAGAGCAAUAACAACUGAGACAGCUCCAUUACCAGCUCCUCCUUUGGGAGCGGCCUUUUCCCUCCAUCUUACGAUUUUCUAGUGUAGGAAGAGCACCGGUUUGAAUCAGGAAUUCAGCACAUUCGGACUGGAAUAAUUCCUCCUAUGGACCUCCUUCCCUUGGCCUCCCUAUCAUGACUCCAGCAGCUCCCGUGAAAGGUCCCUACAGGAUGAGGAGCACACCAGCAAAACAAACCACCCCAGAACUGCACCAGUGUAAUUAAAGAGCUGCUAAAGCUCCUUCAUGCCAACAGCUCCCAACACUCGCUAACCUGAUUUUCACUCGCUGCCGUGCACACGGGGAGAGGGGACACCGAGCAAGGUGAAAUCCCUCAAAAGUUGAGUUAUUUUUCCGUUGCAUUCCAGCACAGAUAAUGUUUAAUUUUAUGACUUCCUGCAAGUCUUUAGCAUGAACUGAAAGUUCGUGCAGUGUGACUUCAGGGUAUGCCAAUUAUGUAAAUAAGCACUAAAAUAACAAUGGCAACGUAGUUUACACAUCACUGACAUUAAAUGAGCACUUCAACUUCUAAUUGCCAUUCCAGUUCAAUCUUAGUGGGUCAUGCCAGGAAAAAGUCAUUUCUUGCCUCAACACUUACUCCCUGUGCCUGGAGCAUAGGCUCUACCGUAUGCCCGGCACAGCCUUAUCUCCAGGAGCUUUCUAUAUUAGGAUAAUGAGCCUUAGAAGGGAGAAACAUGUUUGUGGUUGCUCUAAAAGCCUGCAUACACUCUGAUCUGAUAUCAACAGGGUCUUGUAGGUUUACCCCUCUCCGAUUUUAAGUUUAAAUAAGCUCUCAAAGUCUUCUCUUGGCCUUAUAUAAUACAUAAUAAAACACCUUGCCCUUGUACUUUAUCAUGUCUUAGUCUAUUUUGACCU